rnacentral:rRNA from 1 species
UACGUAGGGGGCAAGCGUUGUCCGGAUUUAUUGGGCGUAAAGAGCGUGUAGGCGGCUAGGUAGGUCCGUUGUGAAAACUCGAGGCUCAACCUCGAGACGUCGAUGGAAACCAUCUAGCUAGAGUCCGGAAGAGGAGAGUGGAAUUCCUGGUGUAGCGGUGAAAUGCGCAGAUAUCAGGAGGAACACCAAUGGCGAAGGCAGCUCGCUGGGACGGUACUGACGCUGAGACGCGAAAGCGUGGGGAGCAAACAGG